rnacentral:rRNA from 1 species
CCUACGGGUGGCAGCAGUAGGGAAUUUUCGGCAAUGGGGGGAACCCUGACCGUGCAACGCCGCGUGAACGAAGAAGGUAUUCGUAAUGUAAAGUUCUUGUAACAGGGAAGAAAGAGAAAUUUGACGGUACCUGAAGAAUAAGCUCCGGCAAACUACGUGCCAGCAGCCGCGGUAAUAAGUAGGGAGCGAGUGUUAUCCGGAAUUAUUGGAGGUAAAGGGUGGGUAGAUGGCAUAGUAAGUCUUUUGUAAAAAUGCUGGGCCAGACCCCGGAGGGCAAAAGAUACUGCAAAACUAGAGUAUGACAGAGGGAAGUGGAACUACAUGUGUAGCAGUAAAAUGCGUAAAUAUAUGUAAGAACACUAGUGGCGAAGGCGGGUUGCUGGGUAGAUACUGACAUUGAGGCACGAAGGCGUGGGGAGCGAACAGGAUUAGAUACCCCUGUAGUC